UUCUGCCCCUUUUUGUUUGGAGACAUAGUCUUUGGUCAAACCGACACUUCGGUUUCGCUGGAAAAAUUUCUAGAUUUGUUCUUUAUAAGGAGAGUCUUUUGGUUAAGGAGAUCUUUGGUUAAUGGACAAAUGUGGUUUUGAUCUCAUAACUUUUCACUAUGGAUCAGGUAUGGGAUCAGUACUAGAGCAUGCCCAUUUUUCAACUAGCAAGAAACCAAUAUUUUCGAGUAGCGAAUGAUCACUCCUCGGAAUUAGAGAUCAAUCGAGCCAUUACACGCGCCUUGUGUCAGUAUC
rnacentral:lncRNA from 1 species